rnacentral:rRNA from 1 species
GCCGGUAAGGUGAUAUGAACCGUUAUAACCGGCGAUACCCGAAUGGGGAAACCCAGUGUGACUCGUCACACUAUCAUUAACUGAAUCCAUAGGUUAAUGAGGCGAACCGGGGGAACUGAAACAUCUAAGUACCCCGAGGAAAAGAAAUCAACCGAGAUUCCCCCAGUAGCGGCGAGCGAACGGGGAGGAGCCCAGAGCCUGAAUCAGCAUGUGUGUUAGUGGAAGCGUCUGGAAAGGCGCGCGAUACAGGGUGACA